UGGAUUUGUGCCUUCGGGAACUGUGAGACAGGUGCUGCAUGGCUGUCGUCAGCUCGUGUUGUGAAAUGUUGGGUUAAGUCCCGCAACGAGCGCAACCCUUAUCCUUUGUUGCCAGCGGUCCGGCCGGGAACUCAAAGGAGACUGCCAGUGAUAAACUGGAGGAAGGUGGGGAUGACGUCAAGUCAUCAUGGCCCUUACGACCAGGGCUACACACGUGCUACAAUGGCGCAUACAAAGAGAAGCGACCUCGCGAGAGCAAGCGGACCUCAUAAAGUGCGUCGUAGUCCGGAUUGGAGUCUGCAACUCGACUCCAUGAAGUCGGAAUCGCUAGUAAUCGUGGAUCAGAAUGCCACGGUGAAUACGUUCCCGGGCCUUGUACACACCGCCCGUCACACCAUGGGAGUGGGUUGCAAAAGAAGUAGGUAGCUUAACCUUCGGGAGGGCGCUUACCACUUUGUGAUUCAUGACUGGGGUGAAGUCGUAACAAGGUAACCGUAGGGGAACCUGC
rnacentral:rRNA from 2 species